rnacentral:miRNA from 1 species
UGUGGGUUGUGGGCUGUGUGGCU